rnacentral:rRNA from 1 species
UACGGGGGGGGCAAGCGUUGUUCGGAAUUACUGGGCGUAAAGGGCUCGUAGGCGGCCAACUAAGUCAGACGUGAAAUCCCCCGGCUUAACCAGGGAACUGCGUCUGAUACUGGAUGGCUUGAGUUUGGGAGAGGGAUGCGGAAUUCCAGGUGUAGCGGUGAAAUGCGCAGAUAUCAGGAGGAACACCAAUGGCGAAGGCAGCUCGCUGGGACGGUACUGACGCUGAGACGCGAAAGCGUGGGGAGCAAACAGG